CAAAUCGUCUUCUGCCUCAGCUCUGCUUCUCACUCUGCCUCCGCAGCCAGCCACCAACGGCCUCCUUAGUCUCUCUCGUCAGCAAUUUCUAUUGGCCUUCAGCUUGAGCUUGAAAUCUCCAGUUGCUCAGAUAACUGACUCGGUAGAAUUUCCGGCUGUUCUGUUGGGUUCACCUGAAAAAAACCAUAGUUGAGAAAAAUGGUAGUGAGGAUCCGAUUGUCGCGAUUUGGAUGCAAAAACAAACCGUUUUAUCGUGUCAUGGCUGCCGAUAGCAGAAGUCCCAGAGACGGAAAACAUCUCGAGGUGUUAGGUUAUUAUAAUCCAUUGCCAGGUCAAGAUGGAGGUAAACGAAUGGGUCUUAACUUUGAUAGAGUGAAGUACUGGUUGUCAGUUGGUGCUCAGCCUUCGGAGCCUGUCCAACGCCUUCUUUUUAGAUCUGGAUUACUGCCGCCUCCGCCAAUGGUGGCAAUGGGACGUAAAGGUGGACCACGGGACACUCGUCCUGUUCACCCUAUGACAGGGUGUAUCUUGGACACAGCGAUUCCAGCUAACCAUAAGGAGCCGGAAGGUCAGGCAGAUGAUGAUGCAAACACAGGAACAAGACAAUGGCAACUCUUGUGGAAAAAUUAGUUAUCACCUAGUAUGGGAUACUGGAAAAGAGUUCAGUUUCUGGAACGACUCCAGCUCAGAACCAAAUUCACAGAAGGCAUGGCCUAGAAUUAAUCUUGGAGCAAGUUUGACACAAAAGUAAACAUCCACCGUCAGACUAAAACUUUGAGUUGUAGCUGAUCUUAUGGGCCUUCCAAAAAAUAGCUUGACUUAUAACAAUAGACAUCUCUUUCUGAGGCCGAGUUGAUCGAAUCGGGUUGAAUUGAAGAUCAGAUGAUUGAAGAUUGGACUGAAAUGGACUAUUCUGUUUUAAUUUAUCAAUUCGAAAUUAAGAAAAAAGAAGAUAAAAUCAAGAUUAAAAAUUAUUUUUUGUUGUAUUUUUGGUCCAAAUUGGUCUGAAAUGGACUGAUUUUCUUUAGUCCAGUCCGGUAUUUUUUUUGUCUGGAACGAGAAAUGCGCACUCCUGUUCAUCGGCUGACUCCAUCAUCACUCUCGUGCUGCAUCCAUCCCUCUUUCAGUGUUGUUUCUUCCAAAACUGCGCAUAAUUCCGGGUCAUUGUUUUUGCUAUAAGUGUGAUCUUCAGAUUGUUGAAGUUUCCUAAUUAAGCAGAAGUUAUCACCUAUAAGUUCAACUAGUGUACUAUUAUAUUGCUGUAAACCUACAUUUCAUA